AUACGUAGGGGGCGAGCGUUGUCCGGAAUGACUGGGCGUAAAGGGCGUGUAGGCGGCCGACUAAGUCUGGAGUGAAAGUCCUGUUUUCAAGGUGGGAAUAGCUUUGGAUACUGGUUGGCUUGAGUGCGGAAGAGGUAAGUGGAAUUCCCAGUGUAGCGGUGAAAUGCGUAGAGAUUGGGAGGAACACCAGUGGCGAAGGCGACUUACUGGGCCGUAACUGACGCUGAGGCGCGAAAGCGUGGGGAGCGAACAGGAUUAGAUACCCUGGUAGUCCACGCGGUAAACGAUGAAUGCUAGGUGUUGCGGGUAUCGACCCCUGCAGUGCCGGAGUCAACACAAUAAGCAUUCCGCCUGGGGAGUACGGCCGCAAGGUUGAAACUCAAAUGAAUUGACGGGG
rnacentral:rRNA from 1 species